rnacentral:rRNA from 1 species
UAAUGCUUAGGAAUCUGCCUAGUAGUGGGGGAUAACUUGGGGAAACUCAAGCUAAUACCGCAUACGACCUACGGGUGAAAGGGGGCGCAAGCUCUCGCUAUUAGAUGAGCCUAAGUCGGAUUAGCUAGUUGGUGGGGUAAAGGCCUACCAAGGCGACGAUCUGUAGCUGGUCUGAGAGGAUGAUCAGCCACACUGGGACUGAGACACGGCCCAGACUCCUACGGGAGGCAGCAGUGGGGAAUAUUGGACAAUGGGCGAAAGCCUGAUCCAGCCAUGCCGCGUGUGUGAAGAAGGCCUUUUGGUUGUAAAGCACUUUAAGUAGGGAGGAAAAGCUAAUGGUUAAUACCCAUUAGCCCUGACGUUACCUACAGAAUAAGCACCGGCUAACUCUGUGCCAGCAGCCGCGGUAAUACAGAGGGUGCAAGCGUUAAUCGGAAUUACUGGGCGUAAAGCGCGCGUAGGUGGUUACUUAAGUCAGAUGUGAAAGCCCCGGGCUUAACCUGGGAACUGCAUCUGAUACUGGGUAACUAGAGUAGGUGAGAGGGGAGUAGAAUUCCAGGUGUAGCGGUGAAAUGCGUAGAGAUCUGGAGGAAUACCGAUGGCGAAGGCAGCUCCCUGGCAUCAUACUGACACUGAGGUGCGAAAGCGUGGGUAGCAAACAGGAUUAGAUACCCUGGUAGUCCACGCCGUAAACGAUGUCUACCAGUCGUUGGGUCUCUUGAAGACUUAGUGACGCAGUUAACGCAAUAAGUAGACCGCCUGGGGAGUACGGCCGCAAG